CCGUGGUCCCAGCUACCCAGGAGGCUGAGGUGGGAGAAUUCCUUGAGCUCAAGUGGUCAAGGCUGCAGUGAGCCACAAUCACGCCACUGCACUCCAGCCUAGGCAACAGAGCAAGACUGUCUUUCAAAAAAAAAAAAAAAGAAAGAAAAAAAAAAACCCACAAACAUUUCCUCCAUAGUCCUAAUUCCAGUAUUAUUUCAUAAUUGAGAAAGCAAAUAAAACAAAGAAAUUGCAUACAGUCAACAAAUUCUUAAUAAAACUCUAUGAAACUAAUUAAACUCAAUUUUUUUGUCACUAUAAUUAGUCUUUCCAGAAGUCAGAGAAGGAAAUAUAACUUGAAGGUCCUUUGUAAUAUAUUACUGUUCUACCUAACCAAUCUCUAAUCUUUAAGACUCUUAAUUACACUCAAAUAUUCACACAAAAUAUCUCAAAUCUCCCCAAAAUAUUUAGUUGUCUUCUUGAAAUUAAUGUCCAACUACGAAAAAGUUCAUCAAAGUUAAGGGCACUCAAAAACUUUUGUAAAAAAUUAAAAGGUCAACAUCAGAUAUAUAAACAUGUAUCUCAAUAAGCAUAAAGGGAAUACCAAGGAAGACACUAUUUAUGAGACACCACUUUCCUUUCACAAAGUGCUACUUACUCUUCAUCAAAAGUCUAAAAUCUCAAGCCUUGAGAGUAAACCAAAAAAAUGAAUUUUGUCUGGGGAGCAUUAAAAAAAAGAGGCAAAGUACAAUUCUGACUAACAAAGUUCAUCUUAAAAUAUAGCAUAUAGGCCGGGUGCGGUAGCUCACGCCUGUAAUCCCAGCACUUUGGGAGGCCGAAGUGGGCGGAUCAUGAGGUCAGGAGAUCGAGACCAUCCUGGCUAAUAUGGUGAAACCCUGUGUCUACUAAAAAAUACAAAAAAUUAGCCGGGUGUGGCGGUGGGCGCCUGUAGUCCCAGCUACUUGGGAGGCUGAGGCAGGAGAAUGUUGUGAACCUGGGAAGCCGAGAUCGUGCCACUGCACUCCAGCCUGGGCGACAGAGCAAGACUCCGUCUCAAAAUAAAUAAAUAAAUAAAAUAAAAUACAGCAUAUAAAGUCUAAAUAUAACUAAAAAUCAGAAGUAGCAGAGCAUAUUAAAUAUAAAAUUACAUUUCACAUUUCAACAUUUUACUACCUAUAUCUUCAAAUAAGUCAAAUGAGCUACCAUGGCCGAGAGGAUUCUUUCAAUCUAAAAAAAGAAAACGGCUUUCUCCUGCCCAAUGAAUAGAUACACAGGUAUCAGAAUUAAAAAAAAAAAAAAAUUCCUUACAAUGAGCUAUUUUAAGUUUCUUCCAUAGCACUAGAGGAAUAUACAUGGUAAUAGUAAUAGCAGCAGUAGCAGCAGUGGUGGUGGUAAGUACUACAGCACAGGCACCAGCAAUGUUAGUACCAACAGUUCUGACAUGUAUUCACUUAAUUCACAACAAUCCUAUGAAAUAAGUAUCACCAUAACACCGAUUUUCAAAUUAAGGAAUUGAACCAUGAGGCCAGCUAUUGGUAAACUUGGUACUCUAUGUGAAAUUCAUAUACACCUGGCAAAGCCAUGAUUUAAAACAAAAAAACCUCUGCAAACCUGGUAAGAUUAAACAUUCACAAAGCAUAGUAACUGCCUAGGAUAGAUGAUGUCUAGGAUAGAAAUGGGAUGAUCUCUUCAUCCCAUUUCUGUAAAAUUCUCACCAAAAGAAAGGCAAUAGAGGGACUGCUGUAUGUUCCUGGGGGAAAGAAAGAUAUCAAGCUGUUUCAGCUCUCCACAGCACUUCAUUGCUACCUCCAAGAGAACUACCCCUCAGUUUUCUUCACUUGAACGUACUAAUCAUCAAACAAAACACAUACAAAAAAGAAAACAGAAAACCUAGAAACGUAAGAAAUCUAGGUGUAAAACAACUUGAGGCUCUAGAAUCAGACUGAAAUCCUGGCACCACCACUUAACUACCUUGUAUGACUUCGAGCAAGUUACUUAAUUUCUCUAUGCCUCUGAUUUCUGUAAAAUGGAAAUAACAACAAAUAACAAAAGCAUAUAUACAGACAUACACACAUAUAUAUAGUGUAUGUAUAAAAACAACCAAGCCAUAUAUAGACAUACACACAUAUAUGUAGUGUAUGUAUAAAAAUAACAAAGCCAUAUAUACAUACACAUAUAUAUAGUGUAUGUAUAAAAAUAACCAAGCCAUAGACAUACAUACACAUAUAUGUAGUGUAUGUAGAAAAAUAAAGCCAUAUAUACAUACACACAUACAGUGUAUGUAUAAAAAUAAAGGCAUAUAUACAGACAUACUACAUAUAGUGUAUGUAUAAAAAUAAAAGCAUACAUACAGACAUACACACAUAUAUAUAGUGUAUGUGGAAAAAUACAGUGCUGUGUACCAGGUCCUGUUCUAAGCAGUUCACAUAUGCCUUCUGACUCAUUUAAUGUUUUCAGCAACCCUAUGUGGUAAACACUACUUACUGUCACCUUUCUACAGAUGAGGCACUGGGAAAUCAUCUGCCCACGGUUACAUGGUUACAAAGUGGCAGAGGCAGGACCUGAAAGGAGACAGUGUGGAUCUGGAUUCCAUGCUGUCAAUCACUAGGAGUACAACCCUCACAGACUUAUCAUGAGGAUAAACUGAGUUAAUAUAUAAAAUGCUGGCCGGGUGCGGCGGCUCACGCCUGUAGGGGAGGCCAAGGCAGACAGAUCACCUGAGGUCAGGAGUUCGAGACCAGCCUGGCCAACAUGGUGAAACCCUGUCUCUACUAAAAAUAUGAAAAUUAGCCGGCCACCAGCGCUGGCGUGUGCCUGUAAUCACAGCUACUCGGGAGGCUGAGGCAGGAGAACUGCUGGAACCCGGGAGGCGGAGGUUGCAGCGACCCGAGAUCACACCACUGCACUCCAACCUGGG
rnacentral:lncRNA from 10 species